rnacentral:misc_RNA from 1 species
CUCGCCAAUACAAAAUAUUGCAAAGUGUAUUGGCGGGCUGUAAACAGCGGGGGAGGGGAUGGCUUGAUUCUAGAAGAGAAUCAUUGCGUUAAUGCUUCGUCGAUCAAACUCGACAAGGAGGAAGACUCGCUCCUUGUCGAGUUCGCCGGCGAGCCCAAGCAGGUCGUCUAAGCUGGGCUCGCCGGCUAAGCCCUUUCUCGGUCGUCUGGAUGGAUGUCUGGUUUUAUCCCUUGCGGAGGACGCCCCGCUCGCUUGUUCGAGCGUCGUAAUGAGUCCUCUCAGGGUUGUAAUUGUCGAAUACCUUACGCAGC